rnacentral:snRNA from 13 species
CGGAGACCCCAGGAGGAGGACCUUCCAUUGCACUUCGGAAAAGUUGAGACCUGCCACUCCCCUAAAUUGGGAAAAAUGGGGCAUGUGAUUUUUGGUAGAUUUUGCUAUUUGUCAUACGAAUU